CCGGACCGGCGCACGGGUGAGUAACACGUAUGCAACCUGGCCGUCACAGGUGGAUAACCGGAAGAAAUUCCGACUAAUACAGCAUAACACUCCUGAGGGACAUCCUUCGGGAGUCAAAGGAGGCAACUCCGGUGACGGAUGGGCAUGCGGCGCAUUAGGUAGUUGGUAGGGUAACGGCUACCAAGCCGACGAUGCGUAGGGGGUUCUGAGAGGAAGGUCCCCCACAUUGGAACUGAGACACGGUCCAAACUCCUACGGGAGGCAGCAG
rnacentral:rRNA from 1 species